rnacentral:rRNA from 1 species
CCUACGGGUGGCAGCAGUGAGGAAUAUUGGUCAAUGGGCGCGAGCCUGAACCAGCCAAGCCGCGUGAAGGAUGACUGCCCUACGGGUUGUAAACUUCUUUUAUAAAGGAAUAAAGUGAGGCACGUGUUCCUUUUUGUAUGUACUUUAUGAAUAAGGAUCGGCUAACUCCGUUCCAGCAGCCGCAGUAAUACGGAGGAUCCGAGCGUUAUCCGGAUUUAUUGGGUUUAAAGGGAACGUAGAUGGGUUGUUAAGUCAGUUGUGAAAGUUUGGGGCUCAACCGUAAAAUUGCAUUUGAUACUGGCAGUCUUGAGUACAGGUGAGGUAGGCGGAAUUCGUGGUGUAGCGGUGAAAUGCUUAGAUAUCACGAAGAACACCGAUUGCGAAGGCAGCUUACUAAACUGCCACUGACGUUGAGGCGCGAAAGCGUGGGUAGCAAACAGGAUUAGAUACCCCUGUAGUC